rnacentral:rRNA from 1 species
AUGCUUGUUCUACGGUUCAACCUACUUCUCCUAUCACUGUUGCUUCUUCUUCUCGUCCGUCCUGCUGCUUACCCAAUGUGCUUCUGCUUGCUGCCUGAGGUUGUACGAUCUCUUCUGUCGCUGUGUCGUUCGACUCAUCAAGGUCUGAAUGUCAUCACGAUCUUGGCUGAGAGGCAGACAUUUUGGAAGUCUGUUAUUGCCGUUAUCUUCUUGGGAGUACUUGAGAAGGCGUGGCUGGGAAUGUGGGGACACGCCAUGGCAGAGGCGCAUGUUCGGCAGGAGGAGUCAGGGAGGCAUGAAGGUGGACAUGUGGAUGUUAUCGUGGCAUUGACACAUUUCUCUCCACCGAUGCUAUAUACCAGGUGGAAGUCACAUGGUGGAGCCUUUGACAGGAAAAUGUUUGUCUUGUCGGUCCAUCUAUAUGAGAACCUUCUAAGUGGAAGUCACAUGGUGGAGUCUCAGUAUGUCAAGUACAGUUUGAUUAAGUACAGUUUGAUUAGUAUGACAAGUCAUGUCAGCGGGAUGAAUAUUUACGAGGUUGAUUAUCUCCCAGGAAGACAACUAGAAAGGUCAUCAUUUGUAUAUUUCCUCUUCGGAGGGUGA